UACGGAGGGUGCAAGCAUUAAUCGGAUUUAUUGGGCGUAAAGGGCGCGUAGGCGGACUUAUAAGUCAGAUGUGAAAUCCCGGGGCUCAACCCCGGAACAGCAUUUGAAACUGUAAGUCUUGAGGUUGGGCGGAGAAAAUGGAAUUCCACAAGUAGCGGUGAAAUGCGUAGAUAUGUGGAAGAACACCAGUGGCGAAGGCGGUUUUCUAGCUUAAUCCUGACGCUGAGGCGCGAAAGCAAGGGGAUCAAACAGG
rnacentral:rRNA from 1 species